CACUUCAGAAUUUGUUAGCACUGCCACAUUCAGAGUUGAGGCAUUCUUUUAAAGUUGUUUGAAAGAGAUGUGGGGAGAGAGUUCAGCUCUACUCUACCAUCUUGUUUCCUAAUAGUCCAUAGUUUAUUUUAAAAGGAUUGUGGCAUAUAUUUGUCAGAUCCUUAAAGAAUGCCAAGUUCAAUUGUUCAUUUCAUAAAUUAAGAAAGUAAUAUCCAAAGAAAGAUAAAAUGACUUUUGAAAGGCUACAUGGUGCAUGAAUUUGUAGGACAGCUGAGAGUCUGAUCCAAGGCUUUUGACUCCAAGAUCAGUGAUUCUCCCACCUCCAGUGACAUGCAGGGAUGCAACAAUAAAGGGAAUGCCAUUCUUGCUCAAGGCAAAAUUCAAAGUUUGAAGAGUAAAGCAAUGUCUUAUUCUUUUAUCUCAAAUAGGACACUAUCAGUAGUACCUUCGGUCAGGAUCACCAUCUCAGUCAUCCUCAACCCUGUCCUCUUGGUUACCUCUCAGAUCCAAUCAGUUACCAAGAUUCCUUGGGUGGACCUUCACAGCAAUUCCAUCUCCUCUCUACUCCAAUCAUUUUGUUUCAAGCCCUCAUCACCCUCAUCACCAUUAUUCUGGACCACUGCCAAGAAGGAGAAAGAGAUACUACUUGUUCAUGAAAAGAAGAGAAUGUCUCCUGCCUGGGGGUUUGGAAGACGGCUCUGCUCUUACUUCAAAAUGCCUGAUCCAUUCCUUAAGACCCUUGCGUAGGGGACCCUGAACAAUCUGAGGAGGCAUACACAUUCCCUGGUACUCCUGCUGCUACAGGGACUUCAGUCCCCUGCUAAUCCCAGAGCCACAGAUUUUUACACAUUGAAGAAAACCCUGGCUGGACAUAACAUGGGCAGAAAAGUAGGAUGAAGAAUGGGAAAACUUCUGAUCCUGAAACUAAUGCCAGUCUCAAGCGGGAGAUAGAGGAUACAAUAUAACCAUGAAGGGCAGAUCCAAAUGCUACAACUCAUCUAGGAAACUUUUACUUCUAGAAGACCAAAAUACAGGAAUGUAAUGCAAUAAUAUGCUGUAAGAAAUGAUGUAUAAGAAAAAUACAGAGAAUCAUGGUCAGAUGCAUUAACUGAUACAAGUAAUAAUAUUAGCAUGAACAUAUAUAUAUAUAUAUAUAUAUAUAUUACUUCAUUUGAUACAACAAUUCUUUGAAGUAGGUACUAUUUUAUGGAUUAGGAAACUGAGGCUGAGAGUUUAAAUCACUUGCUCAUCAUCACACAGCUAGUAAAUGUCAGAAGUAGGAUUGGAAUUCAGGUCUUUCUGAUUCUGAGGCCAGCACUGUAUCUAACACAUCCCCCAUAUGUGGCAAAAAAAGUGAAUAACCACUACAGCUAUGCAAAUGGAAAGAAUAACAAA